CAUACCCAUUUAUAUGUUAUAACAUUUAAGAUAGAUCUUCAAUUUCCAUUUCAUGUAAACAAGAUUAGGAAAAAAGAGUGAAGAUCGGUAGCUGUAACAUUGUUUGCAAAAAAAUUAAUAUCUCCUCAUCCGAGCAACGAUAUACAUCGCCAAACAACCCUUUCCAAGAUGACGCUAUUCGCACUCAAUAUUCCCCCAAUCAUGACACAAACUUCCUUUGUCGAUCUCCACCCUCGAACGAUCAUGUAGGCCGACCUACAAUCCUAAACCAACAAAGGAACGACGCUCAUCGUCCUCGAUCAUCAUCAUCAUCGUCGUCGUCGUCCCCCUUCCCCUCUCUCCACUCUCAGGAUGAUCGACAAUAAUCGUCGAUCGGCGUGACGAUCGACAUCCAUAGCCGCGUCGUGGUCGCACUCCGUGUGACACCGCGAAUGUGUUAUUUCCCUUUAAGUCCAACCUCCAUCCGGGUCACGUAUGGAAUACUGGAGAGGCAAGGAGGAAGGGUGGAGAAUAGGUAGUGUGGUCGCGCAUAUCCAGCCUCGUUACGCGGAUGGAUACGUCGACUGGUACAUGGCCGCUAUUAUUUGCGAGAUCGAUAACGGUUACCUGCGGGCGCCACCUGAGGGAAAAAGGGGACAUCAGAUGCAUAUCUGCCCAUUGGACUCAAGGCUUCCAUCACGGAUGCGAUCCUCUAUUCUUUCGUUUUGCUUCUGUCUCUUUUCCCUUGUUUGCUCCUCGUGUUUUCUUUUCUUUCUUCCUUUUUGUGUGUGUCUGUGUGUGUUUGUGUUAGAGAAAUGGUUUUACGGUUGGAUGUCUGUACAGUUAUACGUGUAUGUACAUAAGGCUUGUAUUAUUCAUAUCUAGGAAGGUUGCCAAUAUCUGUUUAAUUUUAUUUAUACAAUAAUAUAAUAUAUAUUGAAGUUGUAAGUUGAACGGAAAUUGUAAUACUUUUAUUAGAAGAUUUAGAUAUAAGUAUAAAUUGUAAAUGCAUGUUGAUGAUUGGGGAGAAGAAUGGUGAGGAAAGAAUGGUUCAGAUUUCUCGUUUUCAUUUUCUUUAUUUAUCAAUAAGAUGCGUUUAAAAAUGUGAAAUGGAGAACGUGUGUUUCGCUGACACACUGAAAAGUACAUUGAUUUCUUCAUAUAUUCAUCAUAUUCUGAAUCUCUUUCAGAUGUUUCUAUUAGUUCUUCAAUCAUCCUCCCCUUUCAAACAAGACGCCCAUAAGGCCCGGCCAUGUAUUACAUUAACAAGACUCGCCUUAUGCUCGACGACAAGCCCGUCUAACGAGCACGGGAGAGCGUGCACCCAAGUCUAAGUACAAGCAGCCAUAAAACGGCCAUCAAAUCGACGUGUCCUGAGAAGGCCGGUAAUAUCGCAUCUACAUGACCGCGUCUACCAUGGGCGGAAGUCAUUAUAAGAACGGCCGUCGUAAAAGUCUUUGGAUCAUUUGUUCCGCGAGAAUCCAACGUUCUUAUGGUCAUCGUCUUCGAGAGAAAGUAAGUAUUGAAGAGGCUUAAGCAUUGAAGAUACCCUUAAAUUUGUGGAUCGUUGCAACGGGAUGAUUUAUGUACGUUUUAUUCAUCUUCUCAACUUCUUUUUUAAGCACGAUAUCCUGAACCAGAGAUUUAUCAGUUUAAAGUAUAAAGAAUAAUGCUGGGAGCAAAGCUAAAUAAUUGAUAAUUAAGGAAGGAAAAUUAAUAGGAUGGAAAAUUUGAUAUAUCAACACACAAAGUGGGUUUCAAUGGGAAUUGAAAUUAUAAUAAUGGAAAUUGGAGAUUUAUGCUAUUGAGUAGUUAUGAAUAAAGUUAUGGAUACCAGAAUUAACAGAGUGGAAGUUAGUAUUAUGGUAGUAGUAAAGACUUAGAUCUAAUGUCAUUCAGCAGUGAACAAACGAAUGAACAAUAGAAAUUAACAAAAUUGGAAACUUAUGCCACUGUUGUUCAGCAGUAUUGAGGAUGAAUUGGCACUAAAAUUAGUGGAGUGAGGACUGAACACUUAAAGCUAUUCAUCAAUGUUGAGAAGCAAAAUUAUAUUUAUUCAAAAAUGUUGGAAACAAGAUACUAAAAUUAGUAAAAUGGAGAAUGGAGACUUACAUCUAGAGCUGUUCAGUAAUGUUAAGGGCAAUGAAAUUAGCAUGAUAAACUUUGAAAGCUUUUAUGCCAUUCAACAAUGUUGAAAAUGAAGCUAUGGAUACUAAAAUUAACGAGGAUUGAAGAUCUAGAAGAUAGAGCAAUGUUAGAAAUAAGACACCAAAAUUAGCAUAAUGAAAACUUUGGAAACUUAUAACACUGCUAUUUAGCAAUGUUGAAGAUGAAACUAUUAAAAUGAAGCAUCAUAAUUAUUGGAAUAAGGCUUAGGCUUAGAGCUAUUCAUGUUAAGGGCAAUGGAAUCAGAACAGUACAAGUUGGAAAACUUUAAAUUUAAUGCUAUUCAGCAAUGCUAAGAAAGUAAUGCAAAAUAGGAACUUGAGAUCAAAGUUCAGCAGUUGCUAUUCAUAAUAUUGAAGACACGAUUAUGGACAAAGAAAUUAUUGAAUUGAAUAAAACUAUGAAUAAAACUGACAAAGUGAAGACUUAAGAUUUUUAGAUCAAUAUUGUUCACCAGCUGAAAUAUCACAGAUAACAAAAUUUAUAGAUUACAGAUAACGAAGAUUAAACUUCAGACCAAUUCAAUCAAAUGAAUUCUAUUCAAUCCAUAAGCACAAGUUAUGCAAUGCUUUCAAUAAUUAAUUCAUCAUUACAAUAUACCUCAUGCAAAAACUAUCUCAAAGAGAAUUGCUCUACCUUUUUAAGUACAAGUUACUUUCUUACUCAAUCAUUUCCUAAUUCAUUUGAAAAAUAACAUAUAAUUAAUCUAUAUCCUUCUGCACAAACUAUGCUCAAAGACUUUUGCCCCACUUUUUUUAAGCAAUAAGUUCUUACUCAAUCUCUCAAUUAUCUCCUAUAAUUUGAAAGAAUAAUACAAUAUUUUCAAUAGUUAAUUCACCAUCACAAUAUAUCUUAUGCAAAAACUAUCUUAAAAGCCUUAUCUUUUUAAGUUAUUUUCUUACUCAAUCUCUUAAUUAUCAUUUAAAAAAAUACCUUCAAUAAUUAAUCCACUAAUACUCUUAUGCAAAAACUGUCUUAAAAGCUUCCUUAUCUUUUUAAAUACAAAUUACUUUCUUAUUCAAUUAUCUCCUAUAUUAUACUUGAAAAAUAACACGAUACUUUAAAUAAUUAAUCCACCACCAAAAAUACACGCUAUGCAAAAAUUGUAUCAAAGGUCGUUCACCUAUCUUUUUUCCCCCUCGGGAGGCGCAGGAAUCCCUCCCAAGUUCGCUAUAAUGCAGUCAUUUAGAGGGAAGCACGAAGCGAUAAUGCGCGGCGAUAGGGGGCGCAUCUUUGCAAUUUUCCCUUUUGGUAACUGGUUACCGGAGGCCUCGGCCAUUUUUAGAUUCUUAUCCGCGGAAAAAGUUUCUGCUUUGCGAGACGUUCGUUUCCGCCCCCCUUUCUCCCCUCCCCUCCCCAUUGUUGCAUCCUGCCCAAGUUUACCACCACCCACACCACACCUCUUCCAGCCACCAACCUCCACCUCGGCCACCUUUAUUGCCGUUUAUUCGGGACGCUCGUAAAAGUUAAUGCAACUUGGCAAAUUAUUUCUCCUCGAGCCGAGCCAACGUGCUUUAAUGGGACCACGAUAAUGACAGGCGGAUGCUCGUUUAAUAAAAAUGAAUAAGAAAGGCCCUGUUCAACCGUUUGUUCGAUCAAUUUUAAGGAAGGAAACGAAUUUUCGAUACUGAAUAUCGGUUCGUUUUAGAGAUUUGCCGGUGAAAAAUUUUUAAUCCUUACCUUACGAGUAUUUUACAUUAUUUCUCUUCUUUCGAAGAUAAAGACUCGUGUUACAUUAUCGAUGCCUUGUUCCUUCUUGAUCGACGUAGAUGUUGCCAAUUUUAUCGUCUCGAAACAACAAUGGAAGCACAAUGGGAGAAAAUAGUGGGGGAAAGAUAGGAAAGUGUCCGUGUACUUUUCGAGCUGCAACGAACAACUUCGAUUUUUCUUUUUAUAAAUGUUCGUUACAAGAAGAAGUUAGUAGAAAUAGAAAACGAUGUCAUCCUGUUUGAUCUAUGGUUCAGGAAACGAAGGUAUGUGAGUUUCUAUUCACAGCCACGACGGUAGAAAGAUAAAGAAUAAUAUGGAAAAGUGACGGUUGCGGUUGAUCGAAGUCGCGAAUCUUCGGAGAGUAAAAAUUCUUACGUACGAACGAUGACAUUUUCUUUCGUCCGGUUUUUUAAAAUUGAAUAAUAUAAUAGAAACGAAAUUUACAAUUAAUUGGAGACUACUAAUCAAUCUCUUGUCAAUUCCACUUGAACAUCAAAUAUCGAAUUUUCCAAAAUAUUAAUUUCAACUAUUAUUCCAUUCUUUUGAGUAAUCCUCAACGACUUUCCUUCCGCACCGACCGUUAAUACCUCUAAUUUAUCAUUGAAAGCGUACCAUAUAUUACCGGCGGGAUGACAAAUUACACGCAUACAUCACACAAUUUCAUCAAUGCACUACAUCCACGCGAACCACCACCUGACACCGGUGAUCAAUUAAAAAAAUCAACGACCAGGCCACCUCGCAAAUCACCCUUGAUUGCCGUUUCCAACGUCCAAACACCUGACACGGAAAGAAGCCCGAACAAGAAAAAAAAUCCCUUCAAAGAAACCAAUAAACAAACUCCAAUUUUUUUGUCCUCCAUCGCCUCGAAUCUCUCUUGGAUCGAUUAUUCUAAUUUCAUCACGAGCUAUGUAUAAAUUUUUUUGCAUGUUUUUAUUUGCUUAACGCGUUUUUAUUCAUUAAAAUACAAAGAAGUUAACAUCUAUAAAAAAAAUUUAAUAACAAAAAUAGCGCAACAAUAACGAUUAGAAAUCAAGCCAGUAAUUUCAAAUGAAAUCGCUUGUGCGAAUCUCAAAGAAUCUCCCCACAACGUUAAUUUGUCCACGUCAACGGCACGCGAGUCAUUUUUAACGCAUUAAGGACACCCUUUAACAACAACGGAAGGUGUUACGAGCAAAGGAACGAAUGCACGAAGAAGGGGAGUCAUCGGGGAUGGAUUAAAUUCACGCAGCUUUUUUUUCCAUUUAAGCCAACGUCACAUUCCCUUCCGGCCGUAAAUCUUCGGUUGUAAACGUUACGAUAUAGUCGUUUAAAGCGAAACAUAACGCGAUAAUGCACGGCUAUACGGUGCACACGCGUUGCAGUUCGGUCGGUAACCGCCACUUCCUUCGAACAAAUGCAAUUUUCCCGCGCCGACGGAUGAAGACUUUUUAAAUCGCUCUGGAAAACUUCGGGUUCGCGCAAUCAUCGUUUCUUCGAUUUUAUGCGAUUACCGACCGAGCGGAACGGAUAAUCCGUUCCAUAUGGCGACGACCACUUUAUCGCUUUUUAUAUUUAGGGCGAUCAGAGUUUAUUAGAAUUGGGCUUGAUUUCGUGGAGCAUCGUGUUGAGAUAGAAAAAGGAACAACUGAUCUUAACUUCGAAUUGGAAUUCAAGGAAGAAAACAUUGCAAAAAUUAUUCCAAAAGAAGAUACGCUUUUCUACUCAAGAUCUCUCUAAAACUUGGAAAAAAAAUUUGAAAGACCAACGAAUCGAGAGAUGUACUGCUGCUCGUUCAGAUGCAACAGCAUCCAAGGAUCAUCCAAUCCGGAACGCGAUUUCAACAUCACACCAAAUACAAAUCACGAUGAAACAACCGUAGCGGGCAGAGACAUCGUAAAUCCGCAGCGACCAAUUUUCGCCGAUUCGUACAACCUCCCCCCCCCCCUCCCCCCUCUCUGGCUAAUAAUCCAGAUCUGAUUCGCGGCUCUGAUCGUAUCGUUGCGAAUCAACGCUCGUAUUCCAGGAUUAUAAGAAGUUAAGAAUAAUUCGGUUUUGAUACGUUUUAUACGAAUAAUAUGAAAUGUAUCCAUUUGUCCAUUUCGACACACAGGAUUGAUUUUGAACGAUGGAAUGAUUAUUUAUUUAAA